rnacentral:rRNA from 1 species
ACACAUGCAGUCGAACGAACCUUCGGGUUAGUGGCGGACGGGUGAGUAACGCGUGAGAAUCUGCCCUCAGGAGGGGGAUAACAGCUGGAAACGGCUGCUAAUACCCCAUAUGCCGCGAGGUGAAAUGAAUUUCGCCUGAGGAUGAGCUCGCGUCUGAUUAGCUAGUUGGUGUAGGUAAUGGCUCACCAAGGCAUCGAUCAGUAGCUGGUCUGAGAGGAUGAUCAGCCACACUGGGACUGAGACACGGCCCAGACUCCUACGGGAGGCAGCAGUGGGGAAUUUUCCGCAAUGGGCGAAAGCCUGACGGAGCAACGCCGCGUGAGGGAUGAAGGCCUCUGGGCUGUAAACCUCUUUUAUCAAGGAAGAAGAUCUGACGGUACUUGAUGAAUAAGCCACGGCUAAUUCCGUGCCAGCAGCCGCGGUAAUACGGGAGUGGCAAGCGUUAUCCGGAAUUAUUGGGCGUAAAGCGUCCGCAGGCGGCCCUUCAAGUCUGCUGUUAAAAAGUGGAGCUUAACUCCAUCAUGGCAGUGGAAACUGAGGGGCUUGAGUGUGGUAGGGGCAGAGGGAAUCCCCGGUGUAGCGGUGAAAUGCGUAGAUAUCGGGAAGAACACCAGUGGCGAAGGCGCUCUGCUGGGCCAUCACUGACGCUCAUGGACGAAAGCCAGGGGAGCGAAAGGGAUUAGAUACCCCUGUAGUCCUGGCCGUAAACGAUGAACACUAGGUGUCGGGGGGAAUCGACCCCCUCGGUGUCGUAGCCAACGCGUUAAGUGUUCCGCCCUGGGGAGUACGCACGCAAGUGUGAAACUCAAAGGAAUUGACGGGGGCCCGCACAAGCGGUGGAGUUAUGGUUGGUUUAAUUCGAUGCAACGCGAAGAACCUUACCAGGGUUUGACAUCCUGCGAAUCUCUUGGAAAACGAGAGAGUGCCUUCGGGAACGCAGUG